rnacentral:rRNA from 1 species
UACAGAGGUCUCAAGCGUUGUUCGGAUUCAUUGGGCGUAAAGGGUGUGUAGGCGGUCUACUAAGUCUGGUGUGAAAUCUCCCGGCUCAACUGGGAGGGUGCGCCGGAAACUGGAAGGCUAGAGUGCGGGAUGGGAGAGUGGAAUUCCUGGUGUAGCGGUGAAAUGCGUAGAUAUCAGGAGGAACACCUGUGGUGUAGACGGCUCUCUGGACCGCAACUGACGCUGAGACACGAAAGCGUGGGUAGCAAACAGG